UUAAUUGAGUGCCAACCUUGGUGCGAACCAAGCGACGGAAAGCCACGGGUCUUAUAGAAGAUAGCCGGGUUGCAUUU
rnacentral:ncRNA from 1 species